GACGUAGGGCGCGAGCGUUGUCCGGAUUUAUUGGGCGUAAAGAGCUCGUAGGCGGCUUGUCGCGUCGACUGUGAAAACCCGAGGCUCAACUUCGGGCUUGCAGUCGAUACGGGCAGGCUAGAGUUCGGUAGGGGAGACUGGAAUUCCUGGUGUAGCGGUGAAAUGCGCAGAUAUCAGGAGGAACACCGAUGGCGAAGGCAGGUCUCUGGGCAUUAACUGACGCUGAGGAGCGAAAGCAUGGGGAGCGAACAGG
rnacentral:rRNA from 1 species